rnacentral:rRNA from 1 species
GACGAACGCUGGCGGCGUGCUUAACACAUGCAAGUCGAGCGGUAAGGCCCUUUCGGGGGUACACGAGCGGCGAACGGGUGAGUAACACGUGGGUGACCUGCCCUCAGCUCUGGGAUAAGCCUGGGAAACCGGGUCUAAUACUGGAUAUGACUCCAUGACGCAUGUUGUGGGGUGAAAAGCCUUGUGCGGCUGAGGAUGGGCCCGCGGCCUAUCAGCUUGUUGGUGGGGUGANGGCCUACCAAGGCGACGACGGGUAGCCGGCCUGAGAGGGCGACCGGCCACACUGGGACUGAGACACGGCCCAGACUCCUACGGGAGGCAGCAGUGGGGAAUCUUGCGCAAUGGGCGAAAGCCUGACGCAGCGACGCCGCGUGAGGGAUGACGGCCUCGGUUGUAAC